rnacentral:rRNA from 1 species
GACGAACGCUGGCGGCGUGCCUAAUACAUGCAAGUAGAACGCUGACUACUUUAGCUUGCUAGAGUAGAAGGAGUUGCGAACGGGUGAGUAACGCGUAGGUAACCUGCCUACUAGCGGGGGAUAACUAUUGGAAACGACAGCUAAUACCGCAUAACAGUGUUUAACACAUGUUAGAUGCUUGAAAGAUGCAAUUGCAUCACUAGUAGAUGGACCUGCGUUGUAUUAGCUAGUUGGUGGGGUAACGGCCCACCAAGGCGACGAUACAUAGCCGACCGGAGAGGGUGAUCGGCCACACUGGGACUGAGGCACGGCCCAGACUCCUACGGGAGGCAGCAGUAGGGAAUCUUCGGCAAUGGGGGCAACCCUGACCGAGCAACGCCGCGUGAGUGAAGAAGGUUUUCGGAUCGUAAAGCUCUGUUGUAAGAGAAGAACGUGUGUGAGAGUGGAAAGUUCACACAGUGACGGUAACUUACCAGAAAGGGACGGCUAACUACGUGCCAGCCGCCGCCGUAA